rnacentral:rRNA from 1 species
UGUAAGCAACGGUAUGAGCUGUUUCGAGAAGAGUGAGGACAGUUGCAGAGGGGCUUCCGCUCUCCGAUGAGAUGGUCAUGUUUUCGCAAUGGGUUGAACCGGGGGCAGUCGCGUAAGGUACCUGUGGGUGAACCUGCGCAUGGAUCAUCGC